UCUCUUAUGGAUCACUAUUAUAUAAUAUUUUAUUACAUAUUUAUUAUAUAAUAUUAGAUAUAUGGCUAAAUAACAGAAAAUUUUCUUAUCAAUACCCUCUUUUUCACUUUCCCCCGUCAUUCAAAAACAUACACUUUGCCUUUUUGAAAAAUAAGAAAUGUUCACUUUGACCCCUCCGCCGUUAGUAUUCCGUUUAUAUCUUAUUAUUAUAUAUUUUUAUAUCUAAAAUACCUUCUUCUUUCUGUUGUCUCUUUCCUCGCCGCCCUACACCGCCGCCUCGCCCUUGCCCACCCCUCCAUUCGCGUCCACACACAUGCUUUCGUGCUCUUUCGCCGCCUCACCCUCGCCCUCGCACCCCUCUCCAUCCAUGCCCACUUCAAUCUCCUUCCUAUCGUCGCCGAAAUAGAGGGGCAACACCAGAGCAGGAAGAGCGGGGGAGCAUGUGGAGGAAAAUGGAGUUCUCAUUUUUCAAGGGGGCAAAGUGUAGGUUUUUAAUUAAAUGACAGGGGGAAAGUGAAAAAGCGAGUAUUGAUAUGGGGGUUUUCUGAAAUUUAUGCUAUAUACGAUUAUAUAUUAUUACAUACCUUACAAUAUAUUUUUAUAUAUGUUUAAUUCAUAAUAUAAAUUACGAUAAUACUGUAUAUAUAGAGAGAGAGAGAAUCGGGCUACUAUACUCUUAUGAGUACGAUCAUUUUCGUAAUCGUUUACGAUAAUAGAGCUUUCGAAUUUACGAUCUAUACCGCUAAACGUUAUCUAGAGUAUUUAAAAUUUUUAGAAAUUAAAUUUUAUAAUUUUUCGACAUCAUUUAUCUUGCGAUAAAAAAGUUACAAAAAUUGAUAAUUUUUAACGGCCAGUAUGAGAUACUUACAAGUUUAAUGGUGCAAAAGAAUCGGAAACAGUUUAAAUUUUUAAUAAAAAAUUCUAUUCACUGCCUAGAUAAAGAUCAAUAACUUCGAUCUUAAAUUAAAGAAUUAGAUCAUCUAUUUUUAGAACGUCAUUCGAUUUUGACUGUUUAUUUUAUUCUCGCUUGAUGGUUUUUAUUAUGAUUUAAAAAAAUUACAAAAUUUAUUAUUUAGAAGUUUCAAAUACUCUACAUCAUAUCUAAUAGAGUGGUUUCGAAAACUCCACCAUUGAAGAAAACAACUUAUAAAUACGAAGGAUUCUAUACUCAUAUAAGAGUAUAGUAGUCUUACUCUCUCUCUCUCUAUAUAUAUAUAGUAUGAUAAUAAUUAUAUAUAAAUAAUAUUCAAUACAUACAACAAAAGAGAAAUAUAUAAAACAGUUUCUCAUUCAUUUUUCCUUUUGAUUAAUUAAACAAGUAUAGCUCGAAAAUUAUAUAUACUUUUUCUAAAAACCAAAUGUUAAAGAGCGUAAACUUAUUUUUCACCAAAAUUUUUUAUCACUAAAUUUUUUUUUUAUAAUUUUGUAUAAAACCAAACAGCCGCAAUUGCACAAAUCUUUUGGAGUGUAAAUCGUAUAUCUCCACCAUCUAGAUUUAAGUUUUUUCGUGAGUCACAUCAAUGUGACUAGGGAGAUUAUUAAUCCUUUUCCUAGAAUUGGUAGGUUAUAUAAUUUAUACUCGUUUUGGAUUGUAUAGAUUAGUAUUCUUAUUUAAAAUAUAUAUACUUGUAUGCUAUAUGUACACCCCUAUGCAUAUAUAUUUUAGUGAAAAUACUAGUGCAUGAAUAUAAGGGACAAAAAUUAUGUGAAAAGCUAACCAAAUUAGUUUGUUUGGGGCCGCUCAAAAAUUGGAUUCGUGAGAAAUUGUUCUGUGCACCUGGUGCACCAUUAUUAUUCUUAAAAUCUAGGAUUUUAGGAAUUUAGGAUUUAAAUAUUAUAAAAUAUAUAUUAAUUUUAUUAACUUGUAAUUAAAAAAAAAAAAAUCUUAAACUUCAGGAUUUAGGGGUUUAGAGUGAAAGAUGUAGAAUAAAAAUAUUACAUAAUAUAUCGCUAUAUUAAAUUACAAUUUUGAUGGGCGUGGCGUAGCUAGGGUGCCACAUGGCGUCCAUCCAGGCGAUUCCAAACAAAAUGUUUUGGGACUGCUCCUCAGAAAAUUUGCAUAUUCAACACUGCGUUUCACGUCGGGAUUCGAAACAUUUUUUUGAUAGAUACAGGACGUGAAUGUAAUUAAAAAAAAAAUAGAAGUCCGGCGACACUGCAGCAAAAACGGUCUAUAGCGACACUUUUAAAUAUAGGUACAUGUCAAAAAAGUGCUGCUAGCUAAAAUUACCGACACUUUUAAAAAUUGUUGCUAUAUGUGGGGUCGUUAGGUAUAUAGUGACAGUUAAAGAGUGUCGCUAUAACCUAAAAGAGUGAUGCUAAUUUACCAAUAACUUAUUUAAGCAUUUAGCAAGCGCCGAAACUCUAUCUCGUUGGCUGCGGUGGCGGAGGAGGACGACAGGAAUGGCUCUUCGUCUAGAAUUUCAGUGGAUUUAGUGAAGAGAGAAGAAAAUAUGGUAAUUGAUUUUUCUUUUUUUUUUUCUUUUCUGUUUGUAAUCGGGCCAAAUGGACUGGGUGUGGUGGGUUGAGUAGAGUAAUCUUUUAUUUUUGGUUGGAUUGGGCUUUAUAUUUAGGUAUUAGUAGAUAUUUUUUUAAGUUUUAGUAUAAAUAGGACACUUACUCAAAAGUGUCCCAAACAUGUGUUUCUAUAACCUAAUUCUGUUGUAGUGCGAAAUUCAAACUCAAAAACUCCUUAUAUGAUAUUAUGUCAAAUUAUAUGAAAUAAUCAUUACUAUAUAAUUAAUUUAUAUGAAAGAAUUGUUUUUUUUCUAAAAGCGUAAAUUACUAGAGAACGUUAUUUUGUACAAAUUUUUUUUUAUUCAACUUAAAAUGAAAAAAAAUAGUAGAGGAUGUUUUGACUCAACAUAGAUAAGGUCAAUGCUAGAGAACAUAAAACUUCAGUACUUUUAAGGCUUUAUUAGAUAUUAACUUAGUAUUUGUUGUACACAUGAUCCAAAUCCAAAAAUUUAAUAAGUGUUAAAUUUAUAGAAUUUGUAACAAGUUUAAUAUAACAGUGUUCCAAAAUUAUUAUAGAGAAGUGAAAAGGGUCCAAGGGAAGCUAAAUAUGCUCAAGUAAAAUGAUUAACACAUGACCUUAAGGGUGCGUUUGGUUCGCAUUAUAAAAGAUUACUAGGAAUAAAAGAUAUCUGAGAAUCUUAUUACUAUUCAUCCUAUUACUAAGAAUGUGGAAUUCCUGUGUUUGGUUCACACAAUAAUAUUAAUUAGUCAUGUUAUUUAAUAUUACAAAAAUUAUACAAUUAAUUAAUUUAUUUAUUUAUUUAAUUUUAGAUAAUGUUACCAAAAAUUUCAACAUCUUUUUAGAAAAAAAGGAGAGAGAGUAUAAGUUAGAGAGAGAGAGCAUAAUUAAAAAAAAUAGAAAGAAAAAUAUAGUCGAAAUUAGAGGGAGUGAGAGAGUUGAAAUUUUAGAAAGAGAGAGAGAGAGAGAGAAAACUUAGUUUAGAGAGAGAAAAAAAAGUUGAAUUUUAGAGAGAAAAAUAAGUUUAGAGAGAGAUAUAAGGUUAGAGUGUAAAGAAAAAUAAUAUCAAUUAGCCGGCGGGUAGGAAGAAAGAAAGAGAUUAGACAUAUUAUGAUUACCCCAAUCCAUUAAUAUGAGGAUACCCACCCUCCCUCAAGGGAAUGAGAUUAGUACUUUGGGGUGAAUCUUAUUCCCAAGUGAAUCCAAUAUUACCAACUAGAUUACUUAGUGCGUUUAGCCAAACACCGUCAUAUUUUUUUAUUUCCAUUGAAUUAUUAGGAAUCUUUAAAAGAUAGCGCGAACCAAACGCACCCUAAUUGCUACAUGCAACAAUUAAAGCCCCUUUAUAAAGUUUAGGGGAUCAUGUUUUUUUCACAAAGAAAAAGUUAUGUCACAUCUUGAGUGGCCAAAUCUUUACCAAACAUCCAAACCUUUACCAAAUAUCCCCAAGGUUAGGUUUCUAGAGUUUUCUCAAAAAGGUUUGGCCAUGAUUCCAUGGUGGCUCUCUCUCUCUCUCUCUCUCUCUCUCUCUCUCUCUCUCAUCUUUAUAAAACACAAUGUAAUUCAUAAUCAUUAUAUCCUAUAUUAUUUUAAAAUACAAUUUUUUUUUUUGUAAAUACUUUUUUUCACUUGCGCUUUCAGACUUUUACAAACUUAUAUUUUAUCCUCUUGAAAUUUCAGAAAUAUUUUCAGAAGGAUAUGAUGUUAAUGGAGAGAGCAAAAUAACUGAAUAAUUUUUAUUUUUUCUAUAAGAAAAAUAUUUUUUAAAAUUAUUUCUGUCAUUUUGAAGGAUAUUUUCGAUAUAAAUUAUAAAAAAUAUGUGGAAUAGUGAUGAACCUUGACGGAAAGGGGCUAAAUGCAAUAACUUAAAUGUUGAGGCAAUAAAAUAUAGAUUUUUAAAAGUUAGAAAAAAAAAUAAAAAAUUGGUUUUUAUAAAAGAGUUUUUUAUAAUUUAGCUAUAAAAAAAGCAUUAGAAAUGUGUGGAAGUGACAUGAACUAUGGCUUAUUUUGAUUUUUCUAUCUGACUUGUCGAUUCAUUUGGUUCGAGUUGUUUGCUUACUAUACUUAAAAAUUUGAACACAUUGUUUAAUUUAUUAAUUCGGAUAAUUUUUGUGAUUGAGGUUACCAUUUUCUUUUAUUAAUGUAAGCAGUGCAUUCCGAGUUUGUAUUAAAAGGUGAGGUACGAAAAUCAAAAUUUAAAAAGUUAAAUAGUUCGAUCAAAGCAGGUCUAAGUUCUAUAUAUUUUUACCUUAUGGAGUAUAGUAGAUUAAUUACUACUGUUUAGAUCAAAUUAAUUAGAUUAUAAGAAUUUUCAGCUAGUUUUGAGCGGUAUUUAUAACCUUGUUAUCUAUGCGACUAAUCAUCUUAGUAGCAUACUAAAUGAUUCGCCGAUUCAUUAAUUGGACCAUCAGAUCGAACGUUCCAAAGUGGAUUUUUCUGCAAUCCGAUUUUAGUUAUUAAGUCGAAUUGUUUUAAAUACUGGGUCACAGUCGAACCGGUCCAACCAGCCAAUUUGACUUGAAUUUUAAAACACUGCUUUUUAAUUAAUGCCUUGUAUUCCAAUUGUCUUAUAAACAUUCACGCUGGGAUAGAGAUAGAGAUAGAGAUAGCGAGAAUAUGUCUAGAGGAUUCUGCUAGAAAAGGAAAAGAAAAAUAAUGCAUUUAUGCUUUACUAUGUAAUUCAUUUAUCAUGCUUAAUUAACUAUUAAUAGUUCUACUCCAUUGUACUUUAAUAAAAUCUCCUAUUAAAAUACACUACAACAAAAACGGUCUAUAGCGACACUUUUAAAUGUAGGUACAUGUCAAAAAAAUGCUGCUAGCUAAAAUUACCGACACUUUUAAAAAGUGUUGCUAUAUGUAGGGUCGCUAGGUAUAUAGUGACAGUUAAAGAGUGUCGCUAUAACCUUAAAAAAUGCUGCUAAUUUACCAACACUUAUUUAAGCAUUUAGCAACUGCCGAAACUCUAUCUCGUUAGCUGCUGUGGCGGAGGAGGACGACAGGAAUGGCUCUUCGUCUAGAAUUUCAGUGGAUUGAGUGAAGAGAGAAGAAAAUAUGGUAAUUGAUUUUUCUUUUUUUUUUUUCUUUUCUAUUUGUAAUCGGGCCAAAUGGACUGGGUGUGGUGGGUUGAGUAGAGAAAUCUUUUAUUUUUGGUUGGAUUGGGCUUUAUAUUUAGGCAUUAGUAGAUGUUUUUUUAAGUUUUAGCAUAAAUGAGACACUUAUUUAAAAGUGUCCCAAACAUGUGUCCCUAUAACCUAAUUCUGUUGUAGUGAUAGGUUUUGAAUAACACAAGCUAAAUAGUUCGCUAUACAUAUUGAUUUGUGAUCUCUCGAGCUAUUUCUUUUUUUUUUUUUUUUGGCAAUAAAAAAACUAUAUAAUAUGACAAAUUAAAAACCACAUGACAUGACAUAUAUAACGCUAAACUUUACACCCUCUUUGGACGUUGGAAUAAACCCUCCGAGAAUAUCUUAUUCGGUCUGAGAAUUUUUUUUGGUGUAAUUAAAAGCAAGGACUACGAUUUUUGCUCCUUGAAAAUUUUUAAUAUCUACAGGAUAAAAUAUUUAAUCUAUGAGAUGAUUUACUUCAUGAUGAGAAAAAUGAUCUGAAAACUGAAUAUGUUAUUGUAUUCUAAACACUGAUCUGAUUAUGCUUCUUAUUUACCAAAUAUUAUAAUUUUCUUAUUUCGAUGCACAAAUAUUUUAUUCGGAAUAUUUCUAUAAUUUACUUAAGAAACUUGUAGUGUUUGAUACAUAAGAGUGCGAUUAAUAUCGCGAAUGAAACAACAUAUCCAGUCUUCAAGUCAUUUUUUUAAAAAUAAAAUAAAUCAUCUCGUAGGUAAAAUAUAUUGUUCUACCUAAUCACAAAUUAUAAGAUAUUUUAAGAAGCAAACAUUUAACUCCUCAUUUUCGAAUACACAACAAAAUUCUCACCCCGAAUAGGUUAUCCUUGGAUAGCUUAUUCCAACAUCCAAACGCUUAAAAAGAAAAUCUAUCAAAGUUGCCUACAAAGAUGUUUUCAUCGCCCUUCGUAUGAAACUAUUAUUUGCUAGUCCAAAAUUGUGAACCCAAUACACUUUUAAUCAGAAAAUUGGCGGAAACUACGUACACAAAUUUUAAUAAGCAAACUCUAUCACAAAUUUUACAAAUGUAAAUACAAAUAACUCUAUCCUCAUUGACAAAUUAUCGGUAAGACGAGCAACUGGAAAAAAAAAAAAAGAAAAAACAAAAAAAGGGUCAAUCCUUUUUAGUUCAUGGCAACUUCAAUCUCAUAAGUUACCCUCUUCUCUUGUUGGUUUUACCACCAAAAAGGUGGUAAUUUCGUACACUAAUUGCGACCGAAUUCAGAUCAAACAGGCAAAGGUUCUUCUUUUACACUUAAGGCAAGCACAAAGAGGAAAAGAAAAGAGAACUAGAAGCAGACAUACUCUACUUAGUUUGCCUAAUUAAACAUAAUCUAUAAAGAUAAAAUCUUCUGAGAAUCGGUGACUUAGUGGCGUUUGAUAAGGUUUCUGCAAUGACUUUUCUAUUUCAAGAAGCAAUGAUAUGAUAUGUGUCCAGAAAAAAUAAACCAGGAUUGUACUUUGACACUGAUGGAAUGAGAAGUUGGAUCGUAAGACUCAGCUUGGUUGACGGAUAUUGCAAGAAUAUUCAUAUUUUCUUCCGCAACUUAACUUUCUCGGAAAGUAGGUUAUCUCAAUCAAACUAGGUAAUUCCAGAAGCGUAUCUUCAAAACAAUCUUUGUUCUCACCUUUAAUUACCUGUCGAUUUGUUUGGAGGAAGAUUGUGAAAAAUGACGAAUUUUAGAUUAAUGCUUGUUUAUAACUAACAUUAUAUGUUACUUUACCAAAAUUAUGAAAGUAUAUGACAAUACUACAUAUAAUAUGUUCAUAAUGUAUUGUACAACACUUUUAUAGGAUGAUUUUGUUAGGAUUUGGUUAGAUUUGUAGUUAAAUUCUAUUUGGAUAAGAAUUAAUAUUUAAAUCUGUUUGAGAUAAAUUAAGAUUUAAAUAUUAAUUAGAGGAUAAAGCUAACUAGAUUAGGAUUAAUAUUUAAAUCUAUUAGAGAUUGAUUAAGAUAGAUUUAAAUAUUAAUUAAAGUAUGAAUUCUAAAUAUAUUAGGAUUGGGGUACGUUUUAAGUUGAGCAUUAUAAAUAAGCAUUGUGGCUCUCUUUUUUGGGAGUAGUACAGCUGGAACCAUUGGGGUGUCGUACGAGAGAGAGAAAAAGAGAGAGUGUUAUUUUAGUGCACCUUGUGCACGGGUGCACGCGGAGAGGUCUUCUUUGUGGGUUUAUAGAAGACGAGAGAAGGGUAGAAGAGAUUCAAGAAAGAGAGCUCGGGUUGUAGCUACUCUGUGCAGAAGAGGAGUUAGGUAUAAUCUUCUCUUAUUUAAUGAAUCUUAUUUUACCUGCAUAUUUUUUUCUUUUAUGAUUGUAUCAGCUUUUGCUGAGGAGACGGGUUUAUGGUAAAAAUCCGAUUUGACGUUUCCGUUGCGGAAUCCUAACAAUCGAUACCGGAUCCACAGCAGUCGGUAUCGGAGCGGAUUGCUGAUUCACGAGAUCCGGUACCGGGGCGAAUACCGGAUUCCCAACAAGUGGUAUCAGAGCCGAAGGUUACCGAUCUGCGGGAGAGAUCGACGGAGAUGGCCACGAAAUUCGAAAUCGAGAAGUUCGACGGCAAGAACAAUUUCGGAUUAUGGCAAAUUAAAGUACGAGCAAUCCUCGUACAGUAAGAGUUAGACGAGACGUUGAACGGGAAGGAGGCAAAGCCGGCGGACGUCACGGAUGCGGCAUGGACGAAGAUGGAGCGGAAGGCGUUGAGUACGCUUCAUCUAUCAUUAGCAGAUGAGGUUCUUUACAAUGUAGCCGGCGAGAUGACACCGGCGAAAUUGUGGAAGAAAUUGGAAGAUCUGUACACAACCAAAUCCCUGACGAACAGAUUGUAUCUGAAGCAGCGACUGUUUACGUUGCGGAUGCAAGAAGCGGCGAGCCUACAUGAUCAUCUAAAUGAGUUCAACAAGGUGGUGGCCCAGUUGACCAGCAUCGGAGUCAAUCUGGAUGACGAAGACAAGGCGUUGAUCCUACUAUCUUCGCUACCGACGACAUAUGAGCAUCUGGUGACCACGUUGCUUUAUGGCAAGGAGUCCAUAAGCGUGGAGGCGGUCACGGCGGCGCUUCUCUCGAACGAGAUGCGGAAGAUGACUCAGGAGUCUGGCACGCAAAGUCAGGAUGUAGGACUGGUGGUGACUGCGAAGAAGGAGGCGAGAAUAUCGGCGACCAGAUAUCGACAGAAGAAACCGCUAUCUGAGGUAGAAUGCUUUUACUGUCACAGGAAGGGGCAUAUCAAGCGCAAUUGUCGAAAACUUCAGGAUGAUCCGAAGGAGUUAAAGUGACAGAAGGAGCAAACUGUCGUGAACCAGGACGAGACGGUAUCAGCGACGGCGCAGACAGCAGAGUCGGAGAUGAUCGAUUCUGAUGUGCUGUAUGCGGCGACCGGAGGUGCGAAAAUUUCGGACGAUGCGUGGGUGCUCGAUUCGGCGUGUUCUUUUCACGUAUGCUCGGAGAAGGAGUCUUUUGCCACCUAUAAGGCGAUCAAAGAUGGAAAGGCGCUGAUGGGGAACAGGACAGCGUGCAAAGUAUUGGGAGUCGGCAUGGUGAAAAUCCGAAUGCAUGAUGGGGUCGUGAGGACGCUGAGAGGUGUGCGGCAUGUUCCUGGAUUGAAGCGGAAUUUGAUCUCGUUAGGCGCAUUGGACUAUAAGGGUUGCGAUAUUUCGGCUUCAGGUGGAGCUAUAAGAGUCCGAAAGAAAGAUCGGAUCGUAUGCGAGGCGAACAAGCGUGGGAACUUAUAUGUUCUGAACGGGAGAACAGUCAGAAUGGGAGCGAAGACGAUUUGGGUUCCAAAAGUUCGCGGAGGUGCAGUCGCUCGAGGCGGAGUGACGGAUGCGGCGACAUCGAGCGAAGGAGACAAGCUCAAGGUGGAGCUUGCAUGGUGAGCUCGACGUAGCGGUUGAAAAUUACAAAUCAAACCAAGGUGGAGAAUGUUAAGAUUUGGUUAGAUUUGUAGUUAAAUCCUAUUUGGAUAAGAAUUAAUAUUUAAAUCUGUUUGAGAUAAAUUAAGAUUUAAAUAUUAAUUAGCGGAUAAACCUAACUAGAUUAGGAUUAAUAUUUAAAUCUAUUAGAGAUUGAUUAAGAUAGAUUUAGAUAUUAAUUAAAGUAUGAAUUCUAAAUAUAUUAGGAUUGGGAUACGUUUUAAGUUGAGCAUUAUAAAUAGGCAUUGUGGCUCUCUUUUUUGGGAGUAGUACGGCUGGAACCAUUGGGAUGUCGUACCAGAGAUAGAAAAAGCGAGAGAGAGUUAUUUUAAUGCACCUUGUGCACGGGUGCACGCAGAGAGGUCUUCUUUGUGGGUUUAUAGAAGACGAGAGAAGGGUAGAAGAGAUUCAAGAAAGAGGGCUCGGGUUGUAGCUACUCUGUGCAGAAGAGGAGUUAGGUGUAAUCUUCUCUUAUUUAAUGAAUCUUAUUUUACCUGCAUAUUUUUUUCUUUUAUAAUUAUAUCAGCUUUUGCUGAGGAGACGGGUUUAUUGUAAAAAUCCGAUUUGACGUUUCCGUUGCGGAAUCCCAACAAUCGAUAUCGAAUCCACAGCAGUCGGUAUCGGAGCGGGUUGCGGAUUCACGAGAUCCGGUACCGGGGCGAAUACCGGAUUCCCAACAGAUUUUACACUAACGUCACUAUACGCUACUUAAACAUGAUUUGUAUAUUAACACUAUAAUUAUCAGAAGGUAGUAAUUAAGUAAUGAACAAAAAAACAGUUCUCUAAUUCUAUAGCCAGGAAAUCACAUGCACACGCACGCAUGCACGCGCGCACACACAUACAUAUGUGAAUAGAAUAAUCUAUUUGCAUAUUACACCCCUCAAUAUGUUUUUUCAUUACAGCAAGACAAAUUAUCUUGAUUAAGAACUCCAAUUCAUAGCAGAAGUUGGUAUUGUGAAAAACGAUUUUAUGCUAAAAACAUACAAAUACUUGCUAAACAAUCACACAUUGUGAAAUGAAUUUCUAAAACUUCAAAAGUAGGUUUUAAUUUCGGAACCUAACCCCUGAUGUUUCGUAGUAACUUUAUGCUUUCCAACAAAAUAAUUAUAAAGUUUUAAGUAUCAAAAUAUUCUGCGCUAGUUUACAUAAUAUCUAUCAAAAACGUUGGAAGCACCAUUAAGUUCUGAUGAAGUGGUAGUGAAAUAAAGAAAAAGAUUACAGCUGAGUACAUAUUCAACUAAAAUUAGUUUAAAUUUCGGGUACCAAUUGCAGAAUGCACGGUACUUCAGCUUGUGCGCGCCUUUUGCUAGUCGAUGAGCCAUUUGAGCUCAUUUGAACUACAGCUGAAUACAAGUUCAUCGCUCGCCUCGUUCGACAGGUUCAUACCUCUACUAAAAACUACCACCUCUGAGUUUCAAUAAGUGAUAUGUUUAAAUAAACAUCCUGAAUACUCUAGAAAAUAUAGCACUACAUAUUUCUUUGACAAUUUAAUGAGAACAACAUCGGUUUAAAUAUAUAUAACAUUAGCAAAAGAACAUCGAAUAUAACAAUAGAACAUAGUUUUUGUACAAAUUCGAAACACUAAUAACAAGAAAUGCAGAAUAAUAUCUCAAAACAAUUCCUGUUGCUUAGAAUUUGUGUGUUUCUUAAAACUUCUUAUGGUUGUCAUCUCGUCGAUACUCGUCAUACAUAAUGUAUGAUAACCUUCGAUAUCGAUAUCAAAAAUAAAUUACAAGGUGGAAUAGGAGUCGUGUCUAAUCCCCCGAUUUCGAUCCAGGUCGAGAUGCCUCGACUUGAUUCUUCUCAUUCCAAGGUGAGAAAAUGUUUUUUUUUUUUUUUUUUUUUUGAGAGAUAAGUAGCACGCUACCUGUUUUGUUUAUUUUAUUUAGAAAUAAAUUUAGCUGGAAAUGUGAAUCAACUAGGAUUCGAACUUGGGUCUCGGAUACCAACCACCAAGCCCUUUGCCACUUGCUCCAGGGAUGGUCGGUAAGGUGAGAAAAUGUUACUCUCCCUCUUUGGUUCACAAGAGUAAAAUAAAAUAACAACAACUCCGAGGGGUUUUGUGAAAAAAUGCAUAGUUUGAGCAAAAAGUGGUUGUUGGGCUAAAGAAGCCCAUUUUCAGCCCAAGUAAGGAAACAAAGCCCAAAUCCAAUCCAAUGGGGCUUCUUGUUAAAGUUUUGCUUGAGUAGAGCUUGGGAACAUUAAUUUUAUAUUCCAAAAUUUUAUAUGCUGUAUGAAAAAAAAAAAGAAGGAAAAGAAAAGUAAGUUAAAUUCUCUUAUAAUAUUGUGGGAAUCCUCUGUAGUGUCUAUUUGAAAUAUUCAAAUCGUCACCGUGCAACUCAAGUAGCCCGGCUUGUUUUACAUCCCUAGUUGCAGGAGAUGGAGAUGGUCGUGUGGGCUGGGCCUAAGGGAGUAGUGUGCGUGGGCUUGGAAAUGAAAUUUCAAUCUGGGCCUGGAGAUCGGAAUCAAGUUGAAGCUCCUAGCCCAUUCCCAUUCUGGUCCGGAAUAGGAAUCCGAAACCAAUUCCUUUGGACAACCGGAUUUGAUCAAACCGAUUUCCAUUUCGGUUCCAAAAUGAACGAACCAAACAUGCCCUAAGAUUCUAGUGACACUUCUUCAGAUUUGAAUAUCUAAAGAUAAUGUGAAUUGUGUAAAUACAUUCAUUUCGGGUCCGCUUGGCUCAACAUAAAAUCGUGAAAAAUAAUUUUUGGUGGAAAAAGAAGUUUUACGUUUUAUAGUGUUUGAUUGAUAGAAAAAAAAAAAGUAAUUUUCAUCGGCAUUUAUUUGGUUGAAAGAAAAAAAAUUCCACAUUUGUUUCGUUCGGUAAAAAAAAAAAAUGAAUGAAAAAAAAUUUACGCAGCUUGAGUUUUCGUUUUCCACUGAAAAAUAGUAGAAGACAAAAUUUUCAAUUUUCUCCAAAUCUGUAAAAUUAUUCUUACGUCGAACCAAAUAAAAGCAAGAAAGUAUUUUCAUACCGAAAAUAAUUUUUGAUUUGUUUUACCGAAAAAAUAAUUUUCAUAACAAGUAUCGUGGCAAGAAAUUAAAGGCUUGUUUGGUUCAGAGGUGGAAUUGGAAUGGAUAAUGGAAUGGGAAUGAAUUGGAAUGGUAAGUGGAAUGGCUCACUCCCCCAUGACGUUUGGUUUAUUUAUAGAUUGGGAAUUGGAAUGAGUUAUUCAUAUUUUAUUGUUUGGGUUCGUAUAAACUAAAAAAAUUAUAGAAUACUAUAAUACUAAUUUUACUCUCAAAUAUAAAUUUAUAUUAUUUAAAAUUUAUAAAAAAAUAUAAUACUAUUCUCUAAUAAGUUUUCCAAAAAAAAUAUCAAAUUUAUUUUUAAAAAUUUUUAUUGAUGUGGGUUAGGUAUAGGGUUUUGAGAGAGGAUAGAUUUUUUUUUUUUUUUAUGAGAAAGAGGUGAAGAGAAGGAGGGUGAGAUGGUGACAUGGGUUUCGAAAACUUAGUGGGCUUUCGAAAUGAAAUCUCAAUCCGGGCUCGAAGAUCGGAAUCAAGUUGAAGGCUAAUGGGCCAUUCCCAUUCCAGUCCGAAAUAGGAAUCUCAAACCGAUUCAUACGAACCAAACAAAAUUAAUCGGAUUUGAUCAAACCGAUUCCCAUUCCAUUCCCAAAAUUGAUGAACCAAACAAGCCCUAAAGUUUUAAAUUAUAGCUUCUACGUAAUUGCAGAAAAUUAUGCUUCAGGUUCAGGGCUUCCUCAAACAAAGAAGCUUCGCGCUUCCUCUUUGGCUCCCAUUGAGGCAACUUUUUGUGCUUUUUGAGUAGAGAAGCUGGUAUAAGAAAGUCCAAAAAUGUAUCUAUCGGAGCCGAUCGUCGCAUAAAUAAUUAGUCGAAAAGCAGUGUAAAUGGCAGUUACUGUUUAC
rnacentral:lncRNA from 1 species